rnacentral:rRNA from 1 species
AGUGAACGCUGGCGGUAGGCCUAACACAUGCAAGUCGAACGGCAGCACAGUAAGAGCUUGCUCUUACGGGUGGCGAGUGGCGGACGGGUGAGGAAUACAUCGGAAUCUACUUUUUCGUGGGGGAUAACGUAGGGAAACUUGCGCUAAUACCGCAUACGACCUACGGGUGAAAGCAGGGGAUCUUCGGACCUUGCGCGAGUGAAUGAGCCGAUGUCGGAUUAGCUAGUUGGCGGGGUAAAGGCCCACCAAGGCGACGAUCCGUAGCUGGUCUGAGAGGGUGAUUAGCCACACUGGAACUGAGACACGGUCCAGACUCCUACGGGAGGCAGCAGUGGGGAAUAUUGGACAAUGGGCGCAAGCCUGAUCCAGCCAUACCGCGUGGGUGAAGAAGGCCUUCGGGUUGUAAAGCCCUUUUGUUGGGAAAGAAAAGCAGCAGGUUAAUACCCCGCUGUUCUGACGGUACCCAAAGAAUAAGCACCGGCUAACUUCGUG